AUACAUAUAACUUCUGGCAUCUGAUUUACCAUUUGUUGAUUGAUAAAACGCCAGUGGAAGCAGUAGUAACAUCUUGUGAAAAGCAUUCGCCUGCAUUGUUGUAUAACUCGUGUGUCUUAUGUCGCUCGUCGGAUUUUACUUAAAUUUCCUAUGUGAAUGUGCGGGAGAUUUGCUAACUUGGCUGCUGCUCCGACUGCCUACCUAGAGCAACUGGAUAGGAUCCCAAAUAGUCCGUUUACUCUCGGUUCAGAUGAGAUUGGCACCGAUUUCAAGUGGACUCCCACCGUAUCGGAUCUGAUUUGGAACGCCAAGAGGGAGAGUAGCUUACAACAGAUGAAAUAAUUUAUUUGUCUUAGAAACUAUAAUAAAUACGGAUCUUAAGUCUAGCUACAGUAGCAUCACUUUCCCAGGUAGGCCCCACUCAGAUCCUUUCCGAUCCUGUAGAACACUGGGCGCCCAUUUCGUGGCUGGAUGUCCCGGAAAUUGUUGAUCAGCCUGUGUCCCUCGGAGUCGCGCAGUUUCCAGAACUUCGACACCGACGAAUAGGGCACGGGCAGGACCUGGGAGAACACCGUCCAGGUGACAGACUGCUCGCAAAGGGGCGUGGUCAGGGAUCCGCGGUAGGUGAAGAAGUCCCGCGGAUUCACGUUUCCAAGCAUCUGGCCCAGACUCAGUCCGCCCGGAAUGGUCGUCUUCGCGUUGUACUUCGUCACUCGCGGCAACGCACUCAUCACUUUGCUCAAUCCCGGAAAUAUGCGAUUGGGAUUCUGUUAAGAAAAAAAUCACAAAUUAUUUGUUACAAACUCCUAAUGAAAUUGUGUUCAAAUGAUUGAUUCAUAUAAGCAGAAAAACAGCUGAAAGAAUAUUCAUCUGAAAGUGACGUAUUGGCACGUUUAAUUUUCUUCGGCAAAUUUAGUUUCACGGUGAAGAUUUUCAUUGCAUCAUCGUUCCAUCACGUUGGAUUAGAUUGCACCCGGUUUCUCGCAUGACUCCAAUAACAGCAAUGCCAUCUUUCUUGUUUUUCGCCUCAUCGAUAUCUCCAUACUUCGCAUUUCGGUGGACAAUGUGCAUCUCCACGUCGAAUCGCUGC